AUUGAACGCUGGCGGCGUGCCUAAUACAUGCAAGUCGAGCGAAGCGGGGACGGGUGAGUAACACGUGGAUAACCUCCUAUAAGACUGGGAUAAAUUCGGGGCAACGGAGCUAAACCAGAUACUUAUAGAUGGAUCCGCGCUGCAUUAGCUAGUUGGUAAGGUAACGGCUUACCAAGGCAACGAUGCAUAGCGGACCUGAGAGGGUGAUCGGCCACAAUGUAACUGAGACACGGUCCAGACUCCGACGUGAGGCAGCAGUAGGGAAUAUUCCGCAAGGGGCGAAAGCCUGUCGGAGAAACGCCGCGUGAGUGAUGAAGGUCUUCGGAUCGUAAAACUUUGUUAUUAGGGAAGCGGUACCUAAUCAGAAAGCCACGGCUAACUACGUGCCAGCAGCCGCGGUAAUAC
rnacentral:rRNA from 1 species